CAGUAGCCGCGGUAAUACGUAGGGUGCGAGCGUUAAUCGGAAUUACUGGGCGUAAAGCGUGCGCAGGCGGUUCGUUAAGACAGAUGUGUAAUCCCCGGGCUUAACCUGGGAACUGCAUUUGUGACUGGCGAGCUAGAGUAUGGCAGAGGGGGGUAGAAUUCCACGUGUAGCAGUGAAAUGCGUAGAGAUGUGGAGGAAUACCGAUGGCGAAGGCAGCCCCCUGGGCCAAUACUGACGCUCAUGCACGAAAGCGUGGGGAGCAAACAGGAUUAGAUACCCCUGUAGUCCCUGUCUCUUAUAC
rnacentral:rRNA from 1 species